UGACAGCCCCGUACACAAAAAUGCACAUGCUGUGAGCUCGAUGAGUAGGGCGGGACACGUGGUAUCCUGUCUGAAUAUGGGGGGACCAUCCUCCAAGGCUAAAUACUCCUGACUGACCGAUAGUGAACCAGUACCGUGAGGGAAAGGCGAAAAGAACCCCGGCGAGGGGAGUGAAAAAGAACCUGAAACCGUGUACGUACAAGCAGUGGGAGCACAGAGCAAUCUGUGUGACUGCGUACCUUUUGUAUAAUGGGUCAGCGACUUAUAUUCUGUAGCAAGGUUAACCGAAUAGGGGAGCCGAAGGGAAACCGAGUCUUAACUGGGCGUUAAGUUGCAGGGUAUAGACCCGAAACCCGGUGAUCUAGCCAUGGGCAGGUUGAAGGUUGGGUAACACUAACUGGAGGACCGAACCGACUAAUGUUGAAAAAUUAGCGGAUGACUUGUGGCUGGGGGUGAAAGGCCAAUCAAACCGGGAGAUAGCUGGUUCUCCCCGAAAGCUAUUUAGGUAGCGCCUCGUGAAUUCAUCUCCGGGGGUAGAGCACUGUUUCGGCAAGGGGGUCAUCCCGACUUACCAACCCGAUGCAAACUGCGAAUACCGGAGAAUGUUAUCACGGGAGACACACGGCGGGUGCUAACGUCCGUCGUGAAGAGGGAAACAACCCAGACCGCCAGCUAAGGUCCCAAAGUCAUGGUUAAGUGGGAAACGAUGUGGGAAGGCCCAGACAGCCAGGAUGUUGGCUUAGAAGCAGCCAUCAUUUAAAGAAAGCGUAAUAGCUCACUGGUCGAGUCGGCCUGCGCGGAAGAUGUAACGGGGCUAAACCAUGCACCGAAGCUGCGGCAGCGACGCUUAUGCGUUGUUGGGUA
rnacentral:rRNA from 1 species